rnacentral:rRNA from 1 species
UUGCUCUUCAACGAGGAAUGCCUAGUAAGCGCGUGUCAUCAGCACGCGUUGAUUACGUCCCUGCCCUUUGUACACACCGCCCGUCGCUACUACCGAUUGAAUGGCUCAGUGAGGCCUUCGGACUGGCUCGAGGAGGUUGGCAACGACCACCUCAAGCCGGAAAGUUGGUCAAACUCGGUCAUUUAGAGGAAGUAAAAGUCGUAACAAGGUUUCCGUAGGUGAACCUGCGGAAGGAUCAUUAUCCAUCCAAACCAGGUGCGGUCGCGGCCCCCGGGGGUUCUCUCCCGGGUGGUAGGGGUAACACCCUCACGCGCCGUAUUUCUGAAUCCUUUUUUUACGAGCACCUUUCGUUCUCCUUCGGCGGGGCAACCUGCCGUUGGAACUUAACAAAACCUUUUUUGCAUCUAGCAUUACCUGUUCUGAUACAAACAAUCGUUACAACUUUCAACAAUGGAUCUCUUGGCUCUGGCAUCGAUGAAGAACGCAGCGAAAUGCGAUAAGUAGUGUGAAUUGCAGAAUUCAGUGAAUCAUCGAAUCUUUGAACGCACAUUGCGCCCCUUGGUAUUCCAUGGGGCAUGCCUGUUCGAGCGUCAUCUACACCCUCAAGCUCUGCUUGGUGUUGGGCGUCUGUCCCGCCUCUGCGCGCGGACUCGCCCCAAAUUCAUUGGCAGCGGUCCUUGCCUCCUCUCGCGCAGCACAAUUGCGCAGCGGGGGGGUGCGGGUCGCGUCCACGAAGCAACAUUUACCGUCUUUGACCUCGGAUCAGGUAGGGAUACCCGCUGAACUUAAGCAUAUCAAUAAGCGGAGGA